UAGCCUGGUGGUUAAGGCAAUGGAUCGCCAAUCCGGAGACGAUGGGUUCGAUUCCCGU
rfam:Aedes albopictus isolate Foshan contig75336, whole genome shotgun sequence.